rnacentral:rRNA from 1 species
CCUACGGGAGGCAGCAGUAGGGAAUUUUCCACAAUGGGCGAAAGCCUGAUGGAGCAACGCCGCGUGCAGGAUGAAUGCCUUCGGGUUGUAAACUGCUUUUAUAUGUGACGAAUAUGACGGUAGCAUAUGAAUAAGGAUCGGCUAACUCCGUGCCAGCAGCCGCGGUAAU